UAGGUUUAAUGAUGGCUCUGCAAUUUUCCUAUUAGUAUGCAUGAUUUUUCUUUUUGAUUGCUCACCCUGGUACUUUUUUCAGUAAGAUCAUAAAUGACAAUUAUAACGGUGGUGAUUUUUACCACCAAUUCCUUGUUUUUCACUUCUCUCACACUCAUGAUAGGUUGAUAUAUAUUUUCAGUUAUCUAUACAUCUUCAGUAUGUUGAUGUAGCCCCAAUCCCAUGAUACAAUCAAUGCAUUUUCUGCAGCCCAUCUCAUGCAGGCAGAUGGGGCGAUACAUUCAUGAGCUUGCCACUAUGCUUAGCUAGCUUGUUCAACUUCUCUUGUGAGAUCAAAUUACUUUGAUGUGAAUUUUCACAGCUCUUUGUGCUCUUUCCUUCUUGCUGAACCAAUGUUUCCUCAUUAAAUUACUUUACUAGGAUGUUUUCUUUAGAAUUUUCAGACAUUACUUGCAAAAGCAGUAGCAACUGAGUGCUCAUUAAACUUUCUUAGCGUAAAAGGUCCAGAACUGAUAAACAUGUAUGUUGGAGAGUCAGAGAGGAAUAUCAGGGACAUCUUUGAGAAGGCUAGAUCAGCACGCCCAUGAGUAAUUUUCUUCGAUGAGCUUGAUUCCCUUGCUCCUGCACGAGGGUCCUCUGCAGAUUCUGGAGAUGUGAUGGAUAAAUGGUUUCUCAGCACAAAUGCCCGACGGAGAUGCAUAUGUUUGGCAUUCUAUCAGUAAACAUACACGUGCGCUGGCUUGCAGUACUACAUUUUGUGAUUGU